GCAGACACAUUCCAGCCAAUCAGCAGCAGACCCUCCCUCCCAGACCCUCCCACCUCCUGGACAGCUCACUAAGAAUGCAGCUUCACAAUGAAUGUAAAAUGGAUGCUGUCCAGGAGGUGGGAGGGUCUGGGAGGGAGGGUCUGCUGCUGAUUGGCUAGAAUGUGUCU
rnacentral:miRNA from 1 species